GUCCCCUUCGUUUAGUGGUCUAGGACAUCGGGUUUUCAUCUCGACAACAGGGGUUCGAACCCCCUAGGGGAUG
rnacentral:tRNA from 1 species